CCAUCAUUGAAGAUUGAAACAGACUCAUCUUCAACCUCUCACUCUUCCACUCAUCUUCAGGCCAGAUUGCUGAACUUCCGGAGGACGACAGAGGCGGAGGAACCCAAAUAACAUUCUUCGUCCUCCGCCGCCGUCUCCUCCUCCACGCUACGGCGUUGUUUACCCUUUGUCGGUGCGUUUUGCAUGCUAACUCUAGGGCUCUCGAAUAUCUACAGGCCCUUGUAUUCCUCUGCUCUCAAAACAGGGCGCGUUUCAUCGCUCUUACCGUUUUUUAUUCUCUCUGUUUUCGAUUCUCUCUCUUUUCAUUUUGUUCGAUUUCAUCUGUUUCAGACAAAGAAGCAGGUUGCACGAUGAGCAAUGUUUUAUGUUCUUUGUUGUAAAUGCAGCAAUCAAAGAUGGUGAAAAUCUCGCUUGGUGGUUCCGAUGCUGCAUUUGCUAUGAGCCCUUGAGUGUUCCUGUCUUUCAGGUAAGAAGUUAGCUGAAAGCAUUGCCAGGGAGAAGCUUGCAGCUUGUGUGAAUAGAGUACCGGGUUUUUAAUUGCAGUUUGGUGGGCUUUAACUUCUGCUGCAUAAGUAUACCUGCUGCUGUUUUCUAUCCUUCGACUGUGGCAAUUAGUCAGAUGCAUUGUUCCUGCAUAAUCUGCAUUUUGUUGUGCAGAUUCUCGUUACUUGGUGGGGGUACUGAAGAAUAAAUUUGGUUGAGGUGGCUGUUUGUUGGGUAGUUGGGUUAUAUGAUAUAUCCCAUUAUGUGGUAUGGAAGGUGAUGUUUAGACUGGAAAGUCCUUGUUCUUUAUUCAUCAAUUUCAAUUGAUUAUAUUGCAUCAGUUUUGUAGAAAAUCAUUUUGUGCAAUAUUGGCGGUUUUAAACCCCCACCUGUAUUUGUUACAGACGCCAAAAAUGAAAAUAUGAUUUAAAUAUAAACUUGUGGAGUUUGGUCAUGUAGAAGUCCCGGUGAGGAAUGCAAGAUGAUGUUAAAAAUUUCAA